CUCACUUCCUAUUUCGCACUGAACGAUAUGGAUGAUCUCUCCGCGACCACGAUAUAGCAAGCCCACAAAAGUGUGCUCAGAGGCACACUGAUGCGCUUAGCUUCUAAGAAGAAAAGAGAAUCUCGGAGACAUAUGACGGAACUUUUAACACGCAUAAAUGUGCUCGAAAUGCAACACAAACGCUCCCACCUCGAGGAGACAUAUAAAGAAUUACUGGAAGCCCGAAGAUCUCUACAUGCGCACAUGACGACUCGAUACUAUAGCUCCAUACAGCGCUCGAAGGCCUUCUUUUACCAACACGCCAACAAAGGAGGGAGGCUGCUGGCCAGAAUGAUUAGAGGCCCCCAGAGCAUGACCCAGGUCCAUAAGCUACGGACG